AUGAGCUUCCUUAAAAGUUUCCCGCCGCCCAGGCCGGCCGAUGGCCUUCGGCAGCAGCAGCCAGAUACCGAGGCUGUGCUGAACGGGAAGGGCUGGGCACCGGGACCCUCUACAUCGCUGAGAGCCGCCUGUCUUGGUUAGAUGGCUCUGGAUUAGGAUUCUCACUGGAAUACCCCACUAUUAGUUUACAUGCUGUGUCCAGGGACCUAAACGCCUAUCCACGAGAGCAUUUGUAUGUAAUGGUGAAUGCCAAAUUCGGAGAAGAAUCAAAAGAAUCUGUUGCUGAUGAACAAGAGGAAGACAGCGAUGAUGAUGUUGAACCUAUUACUGAAUUUAGAUUUGUGCCUAGUGAUAAGUUAGCAUUGGAGGCGCUGUUCACUGCCAUGUGUGAAUGCCAGGCCUUGCAUCCAGAUCCUGAGGAUGAAGAUUCAGAUGAAUAUGAUGGAGAAGAAUAUGAUGUGGAAGCACAUGAUGGGAUGGAGGUGGAUACCACACCAACAGUUGCUGGACAGUUUGAGGAUGCAGAUGUUGAUCACUGAAAAUGUUGAUCAUUGCUUUAAGAUUCUGCUGAUAACUGUAGGAGAGAACUUGGUGCCUCUUCCACUCUGGAGUGGGGUUGAUGACAGUCUUUUUCUUUCUCCAAAACUCAUCUGAACCAGUUCUUUCUCGAGACAGACUAUAUUGAGACAAGUUGUCACCAGCAGAAGAUACUAUGACCUU